rnacentral:tRNA from 1 species
GGAUAGCUCAAGUGGUAGAGCAUGUGUUUAGCAUGCAUGAGGUCCUAGGUUCAAUCCCCAGUACUUCCA